ACAUUCCAUGUAAUGCUAAUGACGUAGGUUUCAGUCGUCCACUUAUUGUUAUUUCUGGUCCUUGUGGGUGCCUUUAUGCAUCCUGUCUCUCUUCUUUUUUCCCCCCACAACUGGUACGAAAAAAAAUUACAUUAAUUUUUCUUCCGUUUAAUUUUCCUUAAGUUCAGUUUUGGCUGGAUACUAUGGCUUGGUUAAAAUAUUUUUGUGUUCUCAUGAUGGAUAAACAACUUCCUUUAGCCAACAUGUCUCUGCUUUAUAAGUUUCUUUCUAUUCGUACAUCCC
rnacentral:lncRNA from 1 species